UUCUAUUGUCUGACCAGCCUCAGUGGGAUAUCCAGAGCCUCAACAGAGAGAUCCACCUUCAGUAACAAUAGCAACGGUCACCCUAUCCUCUGCUCAUAUAAACUAAGUUUCAGCAUCCUGUGCAAUAAUGGUGUAUAGGAACUGUUAAGUUCUGGCCUGAACCACUGAUUGAGCACCUGGGGAAAGCAGUGGGUCAGCCCUGGGAGCACAGGUGAGGGCAACUCAGUUGUGGGACAGGAAGGGGUGGAGUCUGGCUGCAUCUCUCUUAGACCUCAUUUAAGGGCUGACUGCCCCUGGAGAAGGGUCUCUGGCUGGAUGUCCCUUCCUUGGUGGAGCUUUCCCCUGGAAUCUUCUGAUAUGGCCUCUUCUCUCCAGCCUUGCAGGAUCAGAGAUCUGCAGGAAUGUGUCUCAGAAGGCCAUGUUGUAAUCCAUGCAUGCGUGAGGAUACAAGCUUAGCCCAAGUGUGCCUUCACCUUUCAGCUACACAUCAGUCUGGAAUACUUCCCCACAAGGCCUACUUUAAAACUAAGGGUGCCUAGAAACAGAGUGUGGAGGUGGGGGAAAAUAAAAACACAGAAGGAAAAGGAAAAUCUUAUGUUGCUUCAUGCUGAAAUACUGGGAGAGAAAGGAAAGACAGAAUCCCUGCUUGGUGCAGUCAGGUCUCCAUCUCUAAGGCUGUUUUGUGGUACAGGAUUCUGGGCAUUUUGCAGGAUGUGUUGUUCCAGGCAGGAACUUCUGGCAGAGCCUCUUCUCCAGGUGUCAGGAAAGGAUGUUUGUUUACACAUACAGAUCUCUCAGCACUGACCUGAUGUGGGGCCAGAGCACAGCAGGGCAGGAAAGAAGGAAAGUCAGAGAGCAAAGUGUGACAGAGGAGAGGUUGUUUACCAGAAGUUCCACAUCAUCAGGAAGAAAUUCACCUGGAUAACUGCAUCUCCAGGCUUCUCUACUUCAGGGAAGGGAUUGUGACCAAAUGCUCUCUGCAACCUGAGGGCUUGCUUCCAUUCUAGGCAAUGAGAGUUCAUGAGACUUCAGCGCCCUCCACACAGACAACUCUUCUGCUUUCCUAAGAUUGGAUACAUAAAACCUCUUCUCUUCUGCACCACAAAACAGAAUUGAUUUUAAUCUCAGUUGGAUUUUACAUUUAUCAGCUUUUUGGCACAAAAGUUGGACAAUACUCAUGAAAUGAAUAAGGAAGAGAAUAUCUAUAAAGAUAUUAAGAUAUUUAAGUGCACAAACAUCGCUCAGGAGUCCCCCCCUUUCUUUUUCUAAAGCUUUUACAGCCAGACAUCCUUCUCAGAAACACAAUCUAGAGGAGCCCCAUAGUCUACAAUAAAACUAUUCCUACCUAUUGUAGCCUCAAAUUUAAUUAAAAUGAAAAGACUAAUAUUGCCUUAAUUACAUUCUGAAGGCUUUCUUCAUUAGUGGGUACAUAGAAGCACAAGCAAUCAAGGUCUUAAAUACAUCUGUGAUUUGUGAGAUCCAGGCACGUACCUUUGAAGCUUAAAUGCUUUGUACUGGGAACUGGAUGGAGGACCCAAUAUUGAAAGUUAUGCUUGUGAGGCACGGAACCAUGGAAUGCUAACCAGCAGGUGUUAAGAAGAUGAGCUGUUCUUGCUGUUGUGUCAGCAGUACCCCGUCCUCACAGGCCCUGCAGGUUGGUGGGAAGUAGAGUGAGCUGGGUCAGCCUCAUCCUGCAUGAGGGAGGGGCAGAGGCAGAACUACACCAGCUUCAGUUUGAACACCAGCAAAACUGCAGGUUGUGUCCUGUACUGUUAAACAGUAUUUAUGCAUGCAAGUGGCCAGCUAGGUGUAUAAUUGCCCUGUUAUGUUCAUUCUCAGUUGGAACUCGUGAGUGUUGGGCACAUUCAGAGACUUGGCGUCGCAAUAUGCAGAGCAGUGCAUUAAGGCAUCAAAAAGGGUAACUUAAAAGUCAUUGCCAUGGCGACUUGACAACUUAUUUUGCAGUAUAUGUUCUAUGAAAUAUGUAUGAUUCUAUUUUAUAUAUAUCAUUUGUUUUUAGCAUUUCAUUUCUGAUAAUAGCCUUUUAAUGAUAAUCACAGUCUUUUAAUGAUGGUAAUAAUUAGACUCAUAAAUUAAGAUAUUUUAUGUUAACUAUGCUGAAAUCCUUUAAAAAUAUUUAUUUUUCCCAGCACUUUAAAAGCUGCUUUGCUCUUUUGUGCUGUCUGGAAUCUGUUCAGAGCAGAACUCAGAAGCAUUCCUGGAGCUCCUUCCAUCCCCAGCUGUGCAGGGCUCCCCAUACCUGUUUCUUCUUUCCUUAAGGAUGCGAUAAGGAGGAUGAAAUCACCUUUUUCUUGCACCCUUUCAUAGGAAGGGCCAUCAGUAACAUUCUCUGUCUUUUUAUUAACCACAAACUGUUGCAGGAUGAAAUGCUGGUGAUGAACCUGUAAACAAAGGGCUGAGGACAACACUACCAAACACUGAAGUACCCAGAGCUGGAGGCACUGCCUGCUCUCCCUGGAGCAAUCAGUAACCUUUCUCUGUAGUCUUCACUUCUCUCUCCUAAAGCUAAUAUUCGAUACUGAGGUGACUUACAACUUUCCCAUUCUUUGAAGAAAACAUCUUUACUGACUUUCCAGUUAAAAAGUAUUGACAGCUUUCAGUAAGGGAAAGGCCUCAAUCUCCUAAAUACUAGGCACUUAAUGGAGCACACUCCUAUGCCAAGCAGGCUGCUGAGCUCAGCAGGACUCAGACCACACCCCAGCAAGUCCCGUGUCAGCUGGUUCAUUGUCUGCCAAGAUGUGUGUGCAGAGCACAGCAUCUUCUAGUCGUGUGCUUCAGAUGUGACAGAGCACUUUGGGGACCCUAAGGAGACCCAUGGAAACCUGCACUAGUGACACCCUCCAACUGUAUGAUGGCAUUGGAGGAUAGGCUGUUCUAUUGCUCCACAGCAAUUUUGGAGAUGAUGAGUGGUGCUUCAGUUUCCAAGGAGAGGUCUCAACUUUGUCAGUACUCAGAGUAAAAGACUGUGGCCUCAACAAAGCUGCAGUUCCAUUGACUUGCCAGCAUGCGCUUCUCCUCUCUGCUGCAACUCAUCUUCAUCCACUUCCUGCUCCCUCUCGUAACUGCAUUACAGGCUGGCAUGGAGGCAGGAAAGUUGUAAGGAUCAUUGUAUUGGAAACAGGACAAUAAACCACAUCUUGGAGCCGACAGCACUUUGUAGCACAGUGGAGUGCUCAAAUCAGGUCUGAGGUGACCACACCUCACGUACAUCAACUCAGCUGCAGCUGAGUAAAGCAUCACAACAGAACUGUGGAAUACUGGUUCAAUGGUAAGCAGCCAGCAGAGCUGAAACCACAUUGCACUGCAUAGCACAACAUCACACCUUUAGCCAGGCAGUGGUUCAACCACAAGCAGAUGGUGCUGCUGUUUUCUCAGAGGUUUUAGAGCACAGUGCUUCUGGACAGAUGUGGGAGAAGGGAUCAGCCAGUGCUGCUGGCCAAGGUCUGGCCUGAGGAAUAAGGCUGUCCUUCAUAGGGACAGCAAGCACUGCAGCUCUGUGUGCACAUGAGGACACAGCACUCUGCAUGCUGCCAUGGUGUAUCAGCACUCUCUCGUGUACCUGUUCCCCCCCCAGCCCUGCACACACGUCCUGCAGUGGACCAAGGUAAAAGGAGCAGUUCUGCCCUGACUGAAAAUGAAUCCUCUGGGUGAAGUAUGAAUCCAUUAUUAUUCACCCAGAUAUUUUAACGCUUUCAUUGAAAAAAACCUCAAUUGAAGAAAUAAUUAUAGUAGAUCCCCUCUCUAUGGUAACAAUGGAAAGAGAACAUUAUCACUAUCGCUUGUGGCAACAACUUGAACUGAAAUGGGCUAAAGAGGAAAAAAUAAUUAGAAUGAGACACACACACCUGACUCUGAAAGAAAGAU